GAUGAGUAAUGCAUGGCUUGUAACCUUGGAAACACCAUGUGUCAAGUCAAACAGUUACACAAACGCUAAAAGAAAAAGGGUAUUUGACUUCAGAUAAAGUCCCAUGUGACUUUCACCACAUGUACACUGGUGGCAAAACCAGAGUUAAACCAUUGUUGCUAUUAAAUCAUAACUCAUUUAUCUGAGCCAGAUCACUGUGGAAGACUUGUUUUGAACAGCAGCAGCGUUGUUGUUUUCUCUAGCUGAAAAGUGUAGUGGCAUGAAGGUGUGAAACUGAGCUAUUUCCAAUUUGUCACAAACAGCCAAACUUUCUGAAAGGUCAGUGUGCAUAAUUUGCUGUUAUCUGUCAUGUACUUCUCUCUCUCACUCCUGUUUCCUUCCUCUAACAGACAGUAGAAUGAUUAUGCAUAAUCAACCUAAAUGUAAAAAAAAAAAAAAAAAAAAAAAAAAAAAAACUUUACUGACAUAUUUUGGCCAGUCAGAGAAAGGACAAUGUUUGAUUGGUGGUCAGCUAUAAACAAGGAGGGUUUAAGCAUAGAGGUUAGACAUUCAUUGUCUUUCAUCUACUUGACUUUUUCAUUGAGUAGCAUGCUUUUCACUUAUCUUAAAUCCCCUAUAUGUAGCAUUAUUGUCAUACAUUUUUAUUUGUAGAAAAAUGCAACAACCCUGGUGAAAACUGGUGCAAUCUGUUGCUUCCAAACCAUUUAUUAGUUUCCAAGGGUCAGAUCUGCUGUCUGCCACAGUAUUUUUUGAUGCCGCCACUAGGAGUCGCCAAGGUUGGAAAUUGUCAAAUUCUACACACACUGUAGGGUUUUUUUCACUAUGAUUAUGUACAACACAAGUAAUAUUUGAGACAGUGUGAAUUCAACAGUAACCCGGCUGUGUAUAUGGUGUUAUUGUACAGUCUUCACAACAAGUGUACAAUUAAGUGUUGUUUUAACUAAAUAUAUUUAGUUUAUAUAUUUCAUUGACCUCCUUACUACAUAGUGGCCAAGCCCAACGCCAACAUUUUCCCACAAUAAUUACUGACUGUUAUCAGAAUGUAAUGGUCUAUGCUCAGAAGUAAACAACUAAGCUGCUUUUGAUCAUCUACGAAAAUAAGUGCAAUACCAGAAGUGUUAUUUUAAAGAUUUAUUUGCAGUAAUUCUGUUAAAUAAUUAAGAGACCAGAUUGAAACAACUUGAAAAGGCACGGAUUGUUUUCAAUUCUGUAAAUCUCACAGAACUUUGGGCCACUUUUGGUAAUGACAACAGCAAUCCAAUAAAAACAAUGAGGCCAGGUAUUCGUUUUAGUUUCAUUUAGAUAACACCCCGAUUCAUGUCAUUAUCCAAGACUUUUUGUUCAGCGCUGCAGUGAAAAGCAAGAUUUAAGAAAAAGGUGAUGGAAAUGUGGGAGCAGCUUUGACGCACAGAUAGUCACAGUUUGUAAAGCCCGAGAUAUUGUCAAAUAGAGAUAAAAAUAGGAAGGGAGGGAUGAAUUUAAAAAUGUCUAGGACUGCAGCGUCAUUGUGAAUCAGAAGAAGAAUCUUUAACGUCUGUGCUUUCUGUUGCCUCGCUGACUUCACUCAGCUCUUUGCUCUCCCCUCCGCUGU